rnacentral:rRNA from 1 species
UGAGGAAUAUUGGUCAAUGGGCGAGAGCCUGAACCAGCCAAGUAGCGUGCAGGAUGACGGCCCUAUGGGUUGUAAACUGCUUUUAUGUGGGGAUAAAGUGCGUGACGUGUCAUGCAUUGCAGGUACCACAUGAAUAAGGACCGGCUAAUUCCGUGCCAGCAGCCGCGGUAAUACGGAAGGUCCGGGCGUUAUCCGGAUUUAUUGGGUUUAAAGGGAGCGUAGGCUGUCUAUUAAGCGUGUUGUGAAAUUUACCGGCUCAACCGGUGGCUUGCAGCGCGAACUGGUCGACUUGAGUAUGCAGGAAGUAGGCGGAAUUCAUGGUGUAGCGGUGAAAUGCUUAGAUAUCAUGACGAACUCCGAUUGCGAAGGCAGCUUACGGGAGCGCAACUGACGCUAAAGCUCGAAGGUGCGGGUAUCGAACAGG